AACUUUUGGCAACGGAUCACUUGGCUCUCGCAUCGAUGAAGAACGCAGCGAAAUGCGAUACGUAAUGUGAAUUGCAGCAUUCAGUGAAUCAUCGAAUCUUUGAACGCACCUUGCGCCCCUUGGAAUUCCGAGGGGCACACCCGUUUGAGUGUCGUGAACAUCCUUCUACCUUUCUUGAUUACUUGACCGGGGCAGGCUUGGAAUUUGGGGGGCUGUCAUUGCUGGCCUCUUUGAAGCCAGCUCCUCCUAAAUGGAUUAGUGUGUUCUGCAUUGCCGAUCCUUGACGUGAUAAGAUGUUUCUACGUCUUGGGUUUCGCACUGUCGCUUUAGACCCCGCUUCUAACCGUCUUGCAUUCAAGACAGAGUUUUAAACCUUGACCUCAAAUCGGGUGAGACUACCCGCUGAACUUAAGCAUAUCAAUAAGCGGAGGCU
rnacentral:misc_RNA from 1 species